AGAGUUUGAUCCUGGCUCAGGACGAACGCUGGCGGCGUGCCUAAUACAUGCAAGUAGAACGCUGAAGGAGGAGCUUGCUUCUCUGGAUGAGUUGCGAACGGGUGAGUAACGCGUAGGUAACCUGCCUGGUAGCGGGGGAUAACUAUUGGAAACGAUAGCUAAUACCGCAUAAGAGUAGAUGUUGCAUGACAUUUGCUUAAAAGGUGCACUUGCAUCACUACCAGAUGGACCUGCGUUGUAUUAGCUAGUUGGUGGGGUAACGGCUCACCAAGGCGACGAUACAUAGCCGACCUGAGAGGGUGAUCGGCCACACUGGGACUGAGACACGGCCCAGACUCCUACGGGAGGCAGCAGUAGGGAAUCUUCGGCAAUGGACGGAAGUCUGACCGAGCAACGCCGCGUGAGUGAAGAAGGUUUUCGGAUCGUAAAGCUCUGUUGUAAGAGAAGAACGAGUGUGAGAGUGGAAAGUUCACACUGUGACGGUAUCUUACCAGAAAGGGACGGCUAACUACGUGCCAGCAGCCGCGGUAAUACGUAGGUCCCGAGCGUUGUCCGGAUUUAUUGGGCGUAAAGCGAGCGCAGGCGGUUAGAUAAGUCUGAAGUUAAAGGCUGUGGCUUAACCAUAGUAGGCUUUGGAAACUGUUUAACUUGAGUGCAAGAGGGGAGAGUGGAAUUCCAUGUGUAGCGGUGAAAUGCGUAGAUAUAUGGAGGAACACCGGUGGCGAAAGCGGCUCUCUGGCUUGUAACUGACGCUGAGGCUCGAAAGCGUGGGGAGCAAACAGGAUUAGAUACCCUGGUAGUCCACGCUGUAAACGAUGAGUGCUAGGUGUUAGACCCUUUCCGGGGUUUAGUGCCGUAGCUAACGCAUUAAGCACUCCGCCUGGGGAGUACGACCGCAAGGUUGAAACUCAAAGGAAUUGACGGGGGCCCGCACAAGCGGUGGAGCAUGUGGUUUAAUUCGAAGCAACGCGAAGAACCUUACCAGGUCUUGACAUCCCUCUGACCGCUCUAGAGAUANAGAAUUCUAGAAGGCAUACCAGUUGUUUCGAGGUAAGGGAUCUUAGACGGUUUUUGAAAGUCAUAUUUCUUCAUUAGACUUCCACAAUCAGGGCAAGAUGGAGCCUCAUAAUCCAGCUUAGCGAUAAUUUCUUUGUGGGUAUCCAUAUUGAUGAUAUCUAGAAUCUUGAUGUUUGGGUCUUUAAUAUCGAGCAGUUUUGUGAUAAAAUGUAAUUGUUCCAUAUGAAUCUUUCUAAUGAGUUGUUUGUGUCGCUUUUCAUUAUAGGUCAUAUGGGACUUUUUUCUACACAAAAAUAGGCUCCAUAAUAUCCAUAGGGGAUUUACCCACUACAAAUAUUAUAGAGCCGGAAUUUUACAAUAGUUUGAAUUGUUUUGUACUAUAACAUCAUCUCUUUUGCUUGGAUAGUAUGAAUGGGAAAAACUUGAAUAAAAUUCGUUAAUGGCAUCUAUUUUAUAUUUGGUUAGUACUGGUUGCAUAUUAUUUUAAAAUAAAACUACUAUAUAAUAUUAUUCAUAGAGGCAAUGUAGUAAAAUAUCUAAAAAAUUCGAUUUUUUCCUUGACAACAAAUAAUAAAAAUGAUAUUUUUAUCACAUAAGAAAGCGGUUUCAACAAAAGAGAGAGGAGGGUUUAUUUUGUUGCAUUGUUGCUCAAGGUGUGCUUUUUUUGAAAGAAAAAAUAAAAUGAAAACGAAAAAACAUAGAUUACUUGCUCUAGCUCUUAUUUCAAGUUUUACAUUAUUGGGAGCUGCAUCAGCUGCUGUAUAAUAUCCAGAUGGAGGAGUAUGGACAUAUGGAGAAGGUUCAGGAGGUGGUUAGGCUUUUUCAAAUUACUAUCAUGGUAAAAAAUAUCAUUAUUCAUCCAUCGUGAGCAGAUGGGAUGGUCAUUCUGAUAAAGGAGAAGCUCCUGCUGGAAAAACCUCCUAUGCAUGGAUUUGGACUAAAUGGGGAGAACAAGUAGCAUUUUACUGUGAUUAUGACUAAUCGUUCAUUGAUUUAAAUCGUUCCCCUUGUAAGAAAUUACAGGGGGAAUUUUGUUUACAAGGAGUCUACUAUGAAGAAACUAUUCAUAUUAUUAUCAACUUUUUUUCUCAGCUUCUUCCUUGCUUGGAUUAUUGUCUUACGUGCGCCACAAUAUUUAUAUGCAAGCUAUGAUUCCGUUUCUUUACUUCGUGUCAAAAAAGAUACUCAGGAACCGACGCGUGAGGUAUUUGAACAGGAAUUGGAGAAUUUUGCAAACUCAGAACAGAGUUUAAUAGCUAGAAGAAUUGUAGAGCCGAGUAAGGAUGGGACGACUCACUUUACUUAUGCAACUUAUGGUCAGGGAACUUUACCAAAAGAAUUCCAAGAAGCUAGUCAAGAAAAUCGUGAACGUAGUGAUCCGCUAAAUAGUUAUCUCCUUUUGUCAGGCUCCUUGACGAAAGAAAAGCUUGCCGAUAAAUUAGGAGAUUUGGGUUAUAAAGCAAGUGCUGACCGAAAGAUACCGCCCUAUUUUCUUGCUUUUCGAAUAUUACUAAAUCCCCUUAUUUUAAUUAGUUUAGC
rnacentral:rRNA from 1 species